rnacentral:rRNA from 1 species
CCGCCGCGGUAAUACCGGCGGCUCGAGUGGUGGCCACUUUAUUGGGCUUAAAGCGUUCGUAGCUGGGUUAUUAAGUCCCUUGGGAAAUCCGACAGCUUAACUGUCGGGCGUCUAAGAGAUACUGGGUAAUCUUGGAACCGGGAGAGGUGAGGGGGUACUUCGGGGGUAGGAGUGAAAUCCUGUAAUCCUCGAGGGACCACCUGUGGCGAAGGCGCCUCACCAGAACGGCUUCGACAGUGAGGGACGAAAGCUGGGGGAGCAAACCGGAUUAGAUACCCGGGUAGUCCCAGCCGUAAACGAUGUGCGUUAGGUGUAUCGGUGACCACGAGUCACCGAGGUGCCGAAGGGAAACCGUGAAACGUACCGCCUGGGAAGUACGGUCGCAAGGCUGAAACUUAAAGGAAUUGGCGGGGGAGCACCACAACAGGUGGAGCCUGCGGUUUUAAAAUUGGACUCAACGCCGGAAAUCUCACCGGAUAAGACAGCAGAAUGAUUGCCGGGCUGAAGACUCUGCAUGACUAGCUGAGUAGAGGUGCAUGG